rnacentral:rRNA from 1 species
AAGGCUAAAUACUCCUGACUGACCGAUAGUGAACCAGUACCGUGAGGGAAAGGCGAAAAGAACCCCGGCGAGGGGAGUGAAACAGAACCUGAAACCGUGUACGUACAAGCAGUGGGAGCCCCACCACCAAAGCGUUUCGCUUUGCGUGGUGCGCAAAAUGCGUAACGACAGCACGAUUGCGGUUAACGGAGCGUAAGCGACGUUCAACACAAGAAUCAGGCAGUGGAGCGUUUUGGGGUGGGGUGACUGCGUACCUUUUGUAUAAUGGGUCAGCGACUUAUAUUCUGUAGCAAGGUUAACCGAAUAGGGGAGCCGGAGGGAAACCGAGUCUUAAUUGGGCGUUAAGUUGCAGGGUAUAGACCCGAAACCCGGUGAUCUAGCCAUGGGCAGGUUGAAGGUUGGGUAACACUAACUGGAGGACCGAACCGAC